GGGGAAUAUUGCACAAUGGAGGAAACUCUGAUGCAGCAACGCCGCGUGAAGGAUGAAGGUUUUCGGAUCGUAAACUUCUUUGAUGAGGGACGAAUAAAUGACGGUACCUCAAAAACAAGCCACGGCUAACUACGUGCCAGCAGCCGCGGUAAUACGUAGGUGGCAAGCGUUGUCCGGAUUUACUGGGUGUAAAGGGCGUGUAGGCGGGAAUGUAAGUCAGAUGUGAAACUCCGAGGCUCAACUUCGGAACUGCAUCUGAAACUAUGUUUCUUGAGUGAUGGAGAGGAAAGCGGAAUUCCUAGUGUAGCGGUGAAAUGCGUAGAUAUUAGGAGGAACACCAGUGGCGAAGGCGGCUUUCUGGACAUUAACUGACGCUGAGGCGCGAAAGCGUGGGGAGCAAAC
rnacentral:rRNA from 1 species